rnacentral:rRNA from 1 species
CCAUGCCGCGUGAGUGAAGAAGGCCUUUGGGUUGUAAAGCUCUUUCGUCGGGGAAGAAAAUGACUGUACCCGAAUAAGAAGGUCCGGCUAACUUCGUGCCAGCAGCCGCGGUAA